rnacentral:lncRNA from 1 species
CGACCAGUAAACCAUUUUCUAUUAUGCAGGUUGCAGGAUAUAACAAAUAGCCAGUGGCGGAGCUAGGAUUUGUAUUUAUCGGGGUCAAAUUGCACAAAUAAUAAUUAUAGGGGUCAAUUUCUUCAAUGUACUAGAAUCAAUUUUCAAAUUAUAGCUAAAAAUUAACUAAAUUUCAAAGUUUCAUGGGUGUCAUUUGACCCCCAUGAUCUUUGGCUGCCUCCGCCCCUGCAACUAGCUGAUGUUAAACUUUGAUGGAAACAAUUAUAGAGAUUGACUAUUAUCCUCUUGACUAAGAGUAUUCUCCCAAUGAGUUUUAGUUUUUAAUUUGGUUGCAAUUUGCAAAUUUUGUUGUAAUUUCACAACGUUGAUGUGAAAUCCAUUACGUAGUAUAUAAUUGGAACUAAUCUAGGCAUAUAUCCAAAAACUUUGAUAUUUGGAUAUUUUUUUUUUGGUAUUUAUGUACCCAAAAAUAAUUGGAUUUUUAGCAGGUAUGAAAAUCUACACCCGAUCCAAUUUGAACUCGAAAGGACCCCAAUCGAAUCCAAUUUUUUUUUUACAUUUAUCCUAUUGGAUCCUAUAAUCCUCUACCUAAGAAAUCCGACUCCGAACGGUUCAUACCCGAACCAUGGUAGACAAUUGUUGGACUUAAUAAGUCCAACAAUUGUCUACCAUGGUGCCAUUUUCCGUAUGAACCGUUCGGGUAUGUGCCUUAUGUUAUUAGUAAUCAUCACAUUUCCAAUGAUUUAAUGUGGUAGUGAGAUUUAUAAUGGAAGAAAACUAUUAUAUGCAUGGUAGAGUCAAAAAAAAAAUAUGACUAUAUAUAUAAAACUUAUAAACAAGAAUAUAUAUAUAUCUAUAUAUAUAUAUAAAGUUAGCUUUUCUCUCUUCUCAUGAUGCCACCUAAUCAUCCACCUAAACAACAUUUUUAAUUUUACACUAAAAAUAAAAUAUGUAUUAUGGUCCUUUCCGAUUUCCGUAUUAGCUCUAAGUUCUUUCGGUCCUUUUUAUGAUCCCGACUUUCCGUAUUAUCUCUAAAUUCUUUCGAUCCUUUUUAUGAUCCCCGACUUUCCGUAUUAGCUUUAAGCUCUUUCGGUCGUUUUUAUGAUCCCCGACUUUGCGUAUUAGCUCUAAGCUCUUUCGGUCCAUUUUAUGAUCCCCGACUUUCCGUAUUAGCUCUAAGUUCUUUCGGUCCUUUUGAUGAUCCCAGACUUUCCAUAUUAGCUCUAAGUUCUUUCGGUCCAUUUUAUGAUCCCCGACUUUCCGUAUUAGCUCUAAGUUCUUUCGGUCCAUUUUAUGAUCCCCAACUUUCCGUAUUAGCUCUAAGUUCUUUCUGUCCUUUUUAUGAUCCCCGACUUUCCGUAUUAGCUCUAAGUUCUUUCGGUCCUAUUUAUGAUCCCCGAAUUUCCGUAUUAGCUCUAAGUUCUUUCGGUCCUUUUUAUAAUCCCCGACUUUCCGUAUUAGCUCUAAGUUGUUUCGGUCCUUUUUAUGAUCCCCGACUUUCAGUAUUAGCUCUAUGUUCUUUCGGUUCUUUUUAUGAUUCCCGAUUUUCCGUAUUAGCUUUAAGUUCUUUCGGUCCUUUUUAUGAUCCCUGAUUUUCCGUAUUAGCUCUUAAUUCUUUCGGUCCUUUUUAUGAUCCCCGAAUUUCUGUAUGAGCUCUACGACUUUCCGUAUUAGCUCUAAAUUCUUUCGGUCCUUUUAUGAUCCCCGACUUUCCGUAUUAGCUCUAAGUUCUUUCGGUCCUUUUAAUGAUCCCCGACUUUCUGUAUUUGCUCUAAGUUUUUUUGGUCCGUUUUAUGAUCCCCGACUUUCAGUAUUUGCUCUAAGUUCUUUCGGUCUUUUUAUGAUCCCCGACUUUCCGUAUUAACUCUAAGUUCUCUCGGUCUUUUUUAUCAUCCCCAACUUUCAUUAUUAGCUCUAAGUUCUCUCGGUCCUUUUUACGAUCCCCGACUUUCCGUAUUAGCUCUAAGCUCUUUCGAUCAUUUUUAUGAUCCCUGACUUUCCGUAUUAGCUCUAAGUUCUUUCGGUCCUUUUUAUGAUCCCUGACUUUCCGUAUUUGCUCUAAGUUCUUUCGGUCCUUUUAUGAUCCCCGACUUUCCGUAUUAGCUCUAAGUUCGUUCGGUCCUUUUAUGAUCCCUGACUUACCGUAUUAGCUCUAAGUUCUUUCGGUCCUUUUUAUGAUCCCGACUUUCCGUAUUAGCUCUAAGUUCUUUCGGUCCUUUGAUUAUCCCCGACUUUCCGUAUUAGCUCUAAGUUCUUUCGGUCCUUUUAUGAUCCCCGACUUUCCGUAUUAGCCCCCGCACGUUUCGGUCCUUUUUAUGAUCCCCGACUUUCCGUAUUAGCUCUAAGUUCUUUCGGUCCUUUUUAUGAUCCCCGACUUUCCGUAUUAGCUCUAAGUUCUUUCGGUCCUUUUUAUGAUCCCCGACUUUCCGUAUUAGCUCUAAGUUCUUUCGGUCCUUUUUAUGAUCCCCGACUUUCCGUAUUAGCUCUAAGUUCUUUCGGUCCUUUUUAUGAACCCCGACUUUCCGUAUUAGCUCUAAGUUCUUUCGGUCCUUUUUAUGAACCCCGACUUUCCGUAUUAGCUCUAAGUUCUUUCGGUCCUUUUUAUGAUCCCUGACUUUCCGUAUUAGCUCUAAGUUCUUUCGGUCCUUCUUAUGAUCCCCGACUUUCCGUAUUAGCUCUAAGUUCUUUCGGUCCUUUUAUGAUCCCCGACUUUCCGUAUUAGCUCUAAGUUCUUUCGGUCUUUCUUAUGAUCCCCGACUUUCCGUAUUAGCUCUAAGUUCUUUCGGUCCUUUUUAUGAUCCCCGACUUUCCGUAUUAGCUCUAAGCUCUAUCGGUCCUUUGUAUGAUCCCCGACUUUCCGUAAUAGCUCUAAGCUCUUUCGGUCCUUUGUAUGAUCCCCGACUUUCCGUAUUAGNN